UGGUCACAUGCCCACACCUGUGGCUUCUGAAGCAGAGCACCAGCAGUGACAGUCCCACCAGAACCGCAUGGAAUAGAAAACUGUGCAUUUCCCUAAGGAAAGGGAAUGCCAGAGAAGGGCAGAAGGGAAAUCAGGAAGACAAAACGGUAAAUUACCUACCACAAAUCCAAUUCAUUGGUAUUUUUCCACUUACACUUAACCAAGCAACGAUUUCUCCUGGUCCCAUAAUGGAAAAGAGGGUUUAUCUAGAUUCAUAUAUACAAGACUGAAGAGUGAAGAGAGACCCAGAGAAUGUUCUAAAAUCUGCCAGUUAGCAUAAUCACACAGAGAAAUCUCUGCUUCCAGAGGAGGAGCCAAGUUCAAGUCAGAGAAUUCCAGUCUUUCUUCAAAUGUCAACUCAAAAACAACCCUCCUCAUGGAGACUCCUGUGGCCACCUCAGUGGGAAACAUUCGACAUCAUUGGUAUUAGAAUCACCGAUGUUGGAAACAAGCUCACUUAAGUAGCUUCCAAUGUCUUCAUGUUGGAGUGGACCUUUCCUCUAUCUGUCAACAGAAUGGAUAAAUUGUGGAAGAGUAAUAUCAGAAUACUACACAUCAGUAAAAAACAACAAACUUCUGCUACAAACAAUCAACAUCGAUGAAUCUUUCAGGCAAAAGGGCAAAGAAAAGUAUUGGUCUUCCAAAACAAAUAGAGGACGGAGCUGCUGCUGUUGCAUGGUGUCUAGAAACUCAGACAACUUCAUCAUUCCAUAUUUGCAUCCAAGAGAGAGAAAGAAAAA
ensembl:lncRNA LINC02290 long intergenic non-protein coding RNA 2290